AGGUCUGCAACGAAAAAAGUGCACAGGUUUUUUUUAUACCGUUUAUUAUAGAUUUUCACUCACUGAAACAGGGAAAAGUAUUCAAAAAGUUACAUCGCGUAAGGUUUUUGCUUCAACUCGCGUUUAUAGUUUCAUUUAGAGUGAAGCUCUCGUUUAACUCGAAAUCUAGUGUCUUAUUCUUGGUUCUAAAAGUCCUGUGCAAAAGUGAUAUCUUACUUCCAUUUAAUGUGUAUUAGAGUGAGAUGUAAAGAAUAAAUACAACCAGGGAAAGAAAAAAUGGAAAGCGUAAGCGUCUUCGGAGGUGUAUAAAAGAGAAGACGAAAAGGUUUCGUUAUAGGCGAAAAGAAUAAACACGGAUUGUUAAAUAAAUUUCGUAAAGAAAUUGUUUGUUUAAAUUUGUUUUUCAUUAUUGCUAUGCUUUUUUUGUUAUGCAAACACCUUGUAUCUAGCAAGAAUACUGCACGUGACGGCGGAAAAUACCUGUGCUGUAACCGUAGAACCGAAGACUCCGAGAGACGGAAUCGAGGGAACCUCAAUCCGACAACGAGGGCGAGCGACUCUGCGGCACUCCGCGUCUGAGGGGCGAUACUUUGGAUUGUUGUUCGCAGCUCUGGAAGUACGGAGGUGUCUACCCUUGGUCUACGAGGGUGGAAUUCGCGCCCGCCGCACGCGACACGCACGCGCGAUUAGCACCAAGGUGCUGCGCCUUGCAACACCCAACCGUCGCAUACCUCGAACCUUUUGACACAUGGCGUGCCGUGCAUGGGGGGGAUGCUUGGCGUUCCGUACCGGAAUUGGCGUCCUGUAUUUUUCUGGAUCAGUAGCAAUGAGUCUGCGCUUCAGUUCGUUCCUGCCGACUCCAGGAGGCCCAACAAGAACGAUGGGCCUGUAGGACCCGGGCCUCGGAUAGAGCUUGGCGACUUCCUCCCUUUCUCGCCUGACGACGAUACCAACCAAUGAGAAUCGUCCUGACUAACAAUAUGAAGUACAUCUCCCUUGACAAAAUCCAAGCCUGCUUCCUUGCAAGGUAUGAAAGGAUCAUCAGCCGCGGUGUAUGAGAAAUGUGCCCGAACACGAACCUGCGAAUGAGUAUUUAAGAACUAGUUGUAGGCUCAACAUAUACACAGUUUAAAAUUAGAACAGAAAUUUAAGGCGUUCCAAGCUUUCGUUUGAGAAUAUACCUCAUUACCUUGCUUUCCCUGACGCCAGACUUGCUAUCCGCUGGAAUAAUCACAAACGAGAUGGUGCCUUUCGUAUUUUUCUAAAUGAGAGAAAAAGAAAACAUUGCAAAAAUAGAGACGUGUACUUAUUAAAUAUCACGAAAUCUUAAAAAGUGUGCUCACCAGAAUUUCCAGCACAUAACUCGGUGUCUUUCCUUCAACGCUGAUACCAUUCACCUCGCAAAUCUCGUCGCCGGCGUGAAUAACGCCAGAUCUAUCUGCUGCGCCUCCCAGCAUUAUCCGAACAAAGAUGAUCUUGCCGGUUUCUUCGCAGUUUCUUAUCGUCGCCCCCUAUAAAAAAAUAGAAUCUGAUAUAUAGGGUUAUUUUGUUAGGCGAUGCCUUUAAUCAAGUAAAUAAUAUGCGAUUGACCAAGCUGCACAGGUAUGGUUAUUUGUUUUAUAUUUUUCCAUCCAUGCAUUGAAUUCUAUUGAAUAAACGAAAAGAGAAACAGCUUUAAAAUUCAAGCAUUCCACUUGGAACAAGAGCCUGGCAUACCAGACGGUUACUAUUUCUGCUGACUGUGCAGCUCAGAGUGAAAUCAGAGAACACAACUCGUCUCUCGAAGCGCAAGAAUUUAACGAUCGUUCAAUAUUAUCAAAGCAUUCUUUGAAUUUUUCAAAUUGACUGUAAAAUGUUGUGUUUAUAAGGGUAAUAAACUUGGCAGCACAACGGUUUCGAAACCGUACUGUAAAAUGCACGUACUGUAAAAUAUUUAUGCGAUCAGGUUGCCAAAUGGUAAAAAAAAAUUGGCCAGUUUAUUUUUGGUAAAACAAAACUACACGAAAAGCAAAAUUUCUGAAACAUUUUGAUUCAGAUAUUUUUUUUUUUUCAUUAACGAGAAUAACAUUUCCAAAGCACAGUGAAGAACUUACCACAAAUGGUUCAACUUCAGCACCACACUUCAACGCAAGUUUGUCAAUGAUAAAAGAUAUUUGUUAAUAUAAUUUAGCUUUUCAAUCACAAUUGUGUUUCUCUUAGAGAGAAAGCUAAUGUAUCAUCGUCUUCUUAGUAGAAAAGCAGUCGCAAUAAAUGAACCCUAACUAUAA